rnacentral:rRNA from 1 species
AACGAACGCUGGCGGCAGGCCUAACACAUGCAAGUCGAGCGAGGACUUCGGUUCUAGCGGCGGACGGGUGAGUAACGCGUGGGAAUGUGCCCUUCUCUACGGAAUAGCCCUGGGAAACUGGGAGUAAUACCGUAUACGCCCUAUUGGGGAAAGAUUUAUCGGAGAAGGAUCAGCCCGCGUUGGAUUAGGUAGUUGGUGGGGUAAUGGCCUACCAAGCCGACGAUCCUUAGCUGGUUUGAGAGGAUGAUCAGCCACACUGGGACUGAGACACGGCCCAGACUCCUACGGGAGGCAGCAGUGGGGAAUCUUAGACAAUGGGGGCAACCCUGAUCUAGCCAUGCCGCGUGAGUGAUGAAGGCCUUAGGGUUGUAAAGCUCUUUCAGCUGGGAAGAUAAUGACGGUACCAGAAGAAGAAGCCCCGGCUAACUCCGUG